rnacentral:rRNA from 1 species
GACGUAGGGCGCGAGCGUUGUCCGGAUUUAUUGGGCGUAAAGAGCUCGUAGGCGGCUUGUCGCGUCGACUGUGAAAUCCCGCGGCUCAACCGCGGGUCUGCAGUCGAUACGGGCAGGCUAGAGUUCGGUAGGGGAGACUGGAAUUCCUGGUGUAGCGGUGAAAUGCGCAGAUAUCAGGAGGAACACCGGUGGCGAAGGCGGGUCUCUGGGCCGUAACUGACGCUGAGGAGCGAAAGCGUGGGGAGCGAACAGG